UCGAAGCCCCAGUAAACGGCGGCCGUAACUAUAACGGUCCUAAGGUAGCGAAAUUCCUUGUCGGGUAAGUUCCGACCUGCACGAAUGGCGUAACGAUGGCGGCGCUGUCUCCACCCGAGACUCAGUGAAAUUGAAAUCGCUGUGAAGAUGCAGCGUUCCCGUGGCAAGACGGAAAGACCCCGUGAACCUUUACUAUAGCUUUACACUGAACGUUGAGUUCGUCUGUGUAGGAUAGGUGGGAGGCUGUGAAACCAUGACGCUAGUUGUGGUGGAGCCACCCUUGAAAUACCACCCUGUCGUGCUUGACGUUCUAACCUAGGUCCGUUAUCCGGAUCGGGGACCGUGUAUGGUGGGUAGUUUGACUGGGGCGGUCUCCUCCUAAAGUGUAACGGAGGAGCUCGAAGGUACGCUCAGCGCGGUCGGACAUCGCGCACUGUGUGCAAAGGCAUAAGCGUGCUUGACUGCAAGAUCGACGGAUCAAGCAGGUAGGAAACUAGGACUUAGUGAUCCGGUGGUUCUGUAUGGAAGGGCCAUCGCUCAACGGAUAAAAGGUACUCCGGGGAUAACAGGCUGAUACCGCCCAAGAGUUCAUAUCGACGGCGGUGUUUGGCACCUCGAUGUCGGCUCAUCACAUCCUGGGGCUGAAGUAGGUCCCAAGGGUAUGGCUGUUCGCCAUUUAAAGUGGUACGCGAGCUGGGUUUAGAACGUCGUGAGACAGUUCGGUCCCUAUCUGCCGUGGACGUUGGAGAUUUGAGGAAAGCUGCUCCUAGUACGAGAGGACCGGAGUGGACGAACCGCUGGUGUUCGGGUUGUGUCGCCAGACGCAGUGCCCGGUAGCUACGUUCGGAGAGGAUAACCGCUGAAAGCAUCUAAGCAGGAAGCCCCUUCCAAGAUGAGAUCUCCCUGGACCUUCGGGUCCCUUAAGAGCCGUUCAAGACCAGGACGUUGAUAGGUCGGGUGUGUAAGCGCUGCGAGGCGUUGAGCUAACCGAUACUAAUUGCUCGUGAGGCUUGACUAU
rnacentral:rRNA from 1 species